AGUACCGAUAGUUCUAAUAAAACGUAGGGGAGAUAACCCAAUUUUUUAAUGAGGGUUCAUGAACACUUUCUGUGCCCAUACCACAACUGUAUGUGUAAUUGAACGAAAAUGCUGAAAUAUCGUGAAAGCGAUCGUCCUACCAAUCAGGGUGUUGCAUUCCCGAUCGCAACAUCGUGGUUUCGAUUCGGUGGUGCAUUGUGUUCUUCAGCACGACUCUUCAUUUCUUGUUGCUCCAGUCCACUCAACUGUAAAUGGGUAAACCUGUUUCAGCCUGGCUUUUCUAUUCAAGAAAAUGUUAACCUACCUGCUUAGCCAGCGGAGUGGCCUCAUUCAGCAAGCCUACAACAAAUCGAGGGAAUGCAUUGUGAUCAGUAUUUGAUAGUAUGGUCGUUUUUCGUGGGUCAAAUACAAAUACUAGCUUGGUGCCUGGUGCGUAUAUGAGCUUCAAAACCUGCAAUAAGAAUACCAAACUUUAUCGGCAAAUUACAUUUUCCAACCUGUGGCCUGUAAUAUUAAUGAUGCUCAGGAGUAUAUCUCAAAGUUUUCCUCAUAUGGUGAUUAUUAAUUGACAGAGUCUACAUGCAUGCUUCAAGUUUGAUAUUUAUUUACUGGUUUCCUAUUUCCUCUGCCAUUUUCUUUCUUCACUUCCAAUCGUGAUUGCGUGGUAAGAGGUCUAUUUCCCAAUCACAUGGUUCCGAGAUCAGUCUUACUGCGCGACACCUAGAGCAAGUAUCUUUUACUAUAGCCCCGGGCCGACCAGAGCCUUGUGAGUGAAUUUGGUAGAUGGAAACUAAAAGGAGCCCGUUGUAAAUACACACACACGCACACACACACACACACACACGAACGCACGCAUGCUUGUGUGUGUGUGUCAUCUAUCAACGCUUGACAAUCGAUGCUGGUUUAUUUACGCGUCCGUAACUUAGCAGUUUAGUUCAGCAAAAGAGACCGAUGGAAUUAAUACCAUACUUAAAGAAUAAGCACUGGGAUCGAUUCGUUCGACUAAAAUCUUUCAAGAUGGGUGCCUCAGCACGGCUGCAGUUCAAUGAGUGAAAGAAGUAAGAGAUUAAGAAAACAGACAAUUAUGAAAUUAUCUCCCUUCCCUUGUAUUUUAUCAGAUUUAAAACUCGAUAGAGAGGAACCAGAAAAGAUUGGAUCUGACAACUUCCAUAAGAAAACAAUAUAGCAGUAAUUCUUUAAAAAUAUCCUUGACUCUACUAUAUACCAUCAAUGGCUAUGUUAAGAAUACCUUCUUUAAUCACAAUCAUCAUUGUCCUGCUUUUUGGUUCGGACAUAAUCGCAGAUUGUUAUGAAAAUCCAUGGCCUGAAACUUUUAUGGAUUUUGGAAUGGAUGAUCCCCGACCUUUUACAUCGAACUGGCUCUAUAACGUACAAAAUAGUUAUAAAGGUUAUGGUGAAUAUAUGAGACAAAUGGUAAAUAACAAACUGAAAAAUAUGAUGACAUUUUCAAGGGACUUUAUUCACCAGGGGGAUUACUAUGGAAAUCAUUUCAAGCAGGACCCAGACACCAAGAUGUUACUGCAGGAAGCACGAGCAGCUUUCGCAAACAGUAAUUCAGGGGGCCGUUAUUUAGGAAAAUUGGUUCGAACUGCAUCCUGUGGCAAACAUUGUAUUAUCAAAGUUGUAAUCGGAAAAAUUAAUGGAAAUUAUUAUGAAAAUGUCUCGAAAAGUUAUCAUUAGACGUAAUUUGAAUCAUGGAAGAUUAAAGGUAUGCUAUGUAUCCAUUUUAACCGGUAAUGAAGGCGCUGGCAACUUAAAACAGCUACAAAGCAAGAAUUGUAAAGCAAUAUAAAAAUAAAGCAUAUUUGUUUGUAA